rnacentral:lncRNA from 1 species
CUUUGUAGUCCACCAUUAGAGCCACAGCUAUAGCAACAACAAGGCUGUGCCCAGCCACUCAGUGAGGUCUCAGGGAUGACACACCGAUGGGUCAUCCGUGCAAGUGAAGGAGAGGCUCCUGGGACACGAGACACAAGGUCAGUGGCAGCAAGGGACAAUAACAGUGUUGAGGGCUGAGCUAGGUAUCACUCAGAGGUGGACUUGAUGUUGGGGAUGUCAGGCUUGCUUGACACUGGCCUGGGGGUGGGGGGGUGGGGGGUGGGAGUGGUGGCAUUCUGGGACAGGCAAAGCAAAAAGGCAUCUCGAGUAGUGAGGAGCUGAGCCAACCCAGGGAGAGCAAGCAGGUGUCAGCCGAGCCAGUGGCUGAUGGUGUGGACUGCGGUAGCAGACAGCUGGGUUUAAGACCCGGGCACAAUGGAGGAUUCUCUUCAUUUUCCUAUGCCUGUUUCUUCACAAAAGGGAAGUGACCACCUUCUGAGGAGAGCACCUUUGUCUUAAAGCCAAGGACGCGAUCCCACCAUCCAUGUCAAGGGCACUCUCUCUGAUCCAGGCAGGAAGCAGACCUAUUUAUAGACUAAGUUAUGUGCUGGUCUAGAUCAUCAAUACAUUGCUGCUAUUA